rnacentral:rRNA from 1 species
UACGUAGGGUGCAAGCGUUGUCCGGAAUUAUUGGGCGUAAAGAGCUCGUAGGCGGUCUGUCGCGUCGGUCGUGAAAACUUGGGGCUUAACCCUGAGCUUGCGGUCGAUACGGGCAUGACUGGAGUUCGGCAGGGGAGACUGGAAUUCCUGGUGUAGCGGUGAAAUGCGCAGAUAUCAGGAGGAACACCGGUGGCGAAGGCGGAUCUCUGGGCCUUACCUGACGCUCAUGCACGAAAGCGUGGGGAGCAAACAGG